rnacentral:piRNA from 1 species
CUGUAGGCACAUCAAUAA